CAAGUCGAGCGGUAGCACAGAGAGCUUGCUCUCGGGUGACGAGCGGCGGACGGGUGAGUAAUGUCUGGGAAACUGCCUGAUGGAGGGGGAUAACUACUGGAAACGGUAGCUAAUACCGCAUAACGUCGCAAGACCAAAGUGGGGGACCUUCGGGCCUCAUGCCAUCAGAUGUGCCCAGAUGGGAUUAGCUGGUAGGUGGGGUAACGGCUCACCUAGGCGACGAUCCCUAGCUGGUCUGAGAGGAUGACCAGCCACACUGGAACUGAGACACGGUCCAGACUCCUACGGGAGGCAGCAGUGGGGAAUAUUGCACAAUGGGCGCAAGCCUGAUGCAGCCAUGCCGCGUGUGUGAAGAAGGCCUUCGGGUUGUAAAGCACUUUCAGCGGGGAGGAAGGCGAUAAGGUUAAUAACCUUGUCGAUUGACGUUACCCGCAGAAGAAGCACCGGCUAACUCCGUGCCAGCAGCCGCGGUAAUACGGAGGGUGCAAGCGUUAAUCGGAAUUACUGGGCGUAAAGCGCACGCAGGCGGUCUGUCAAGUCGGAUGUGAAAUCCCCGGGCUCAACCUGGGAACUGCAUUCGAAACUGGCAGGCUAGAGUCUUGUAGAGGGGGGUAGAAUUCCAGGUGUAGCGGUGAAAUGCGUAGAGAUCUGGAGGAAUACCGGUGGCGAAAGCGGCCCCCUGGACAAAGACU
rnacentral:rRNA from 1 species